CCCCUCUCAGGGUCGCACCUGGAGUGUUUCCAAUACUCUACCAGUCUCAGCUUUGGGAGGGAGAGACAGGCAGAGGCCUACCCAUUCCAUUCCUAGCUUGGGCAGUGGCUGGUGAGUGGAAGGCAAUCUGCUACAAGU
rnacentral:snoRNA from 2 species